CACGUAGGGUGCGAGCGUUGUCCGGAAUUACUGGGCGUAAAGAGUUCGUAGGCGGUUUGUCGCGUCGUUCGUGAAAACUUGGGGCUUAACUCCAAGCGUGCGGGCGAUACGGGCAGACUUGAGUACUACAGGGGAGACUGGAAUUCCUGGUGUAGCGGUGAAAUGCGCAGAUAUCAGGAGGAACACCGGUGGCGAAGGCGGGUCUCUGGGUAGUAACUGACGCUGAGGAACGAAAGCGUGGGUAGCGAACAGG
rnacentral:rRNA from 1 species